GACGAACGCUGGCGGCGUGCUUAACACAUGCAAGUCGAACGGAAAGGCCCUGCUUGCAGGGUACUCGAGUGGCGAACGGGUGAGUAACACGUGGGUGAUCUGCCCUGCACUUCGGGAUAAGCCUGGGAAACUGGGUCUAAUAACGGAUAGGAGCCAUUUUUAGUGUGAUGGUUGGAAAGUUUUUUCGGUGUAGGAUGAGCUCGCGGCCUAUCAGCUUGUUGGUGGGGUAAUGGCCUACCAAGGCGGCGACGGGUAGCCGGCCUGAGAGGGUGGACGGCAACAUUGGGACUGGGAUACGGCCCAGACUCCUACGGGAGGCAGAAGUGGAGAUUGUUGCACAACGGGCGCAAGCCUGAUGCAGCGACGCCGCGUGCGUGAUGACGGCCCUCGCGUUGUAAACUCCUGUCGCUAGGGACGAAGCUUUUUGUGACGGUACCUAGAUAAGAGGCACCGACUAACUCCGUG
rnacentral:rRNA from 1 species